GGUCGAGAGGUCCUGCGCCGAAAUGUCCGGGCUGAACGCGCCACCGAAACUAAGGAACCGAAAGGUUGGUAGAGGAGCAUUGCAUGCGGGAAGAAGCAGUACCGAAAGGAGCUGUGGACUGCAUGGAAGAGAGAAUGCCGGAAUGAGUAGCGAGAAUAAGGUGAGAAUCCUUAUGGCCGAAUAUCCAAGGUUUCCAGAGUAAAGCUGAUCUGCUCUGGGUAAGUCGGGGCCUAAGGCGAGGACGAGAGUCGUAGCCGAUGGA
rnacentral:rRNA from 1 species